UACGUAGGGGCAAGCGUUAUCCGGAAUUACUGGGCGUAAAGGGUGCGUAGGCGGUCUUUCAAGCCAGAAGUGAAAGGCUACGGCUCAACCGUAGUAAGCUUUUGGAACUGUAAGACUUGAGUGCAGGAGAGGAGAGUGGAAUUCCUAGUGUAGCGGUGAAAUGCGUAGAUAUUAGGAGGAACACCAGUAGCGAAGGCGGCUCUCUGGACUGUAACUGACGCUGAGGCUCGAAAGCGUGGGGAGCGAACAGGAUUAGAUACCCUGGUAGUCCCU
rnacentral:rRNA from 1 species